rnacentral:rRNA from 1 species
UACGUAGGGUCCGAGCGUUGUCCGGAAUUACUGGGCGUAAAGAGCUCGUAGGUGGUUUGUCGCGUUGUUCGUGAAAACUCACAGCUUAACUGUGGGCGUGCGGGCGAUACUGGCAGACUUGAGUACUGCAGGGGAGACUGGAAUUCCUGGUGUAGCGGUGGAAUGCGCAGAUAUCAGGAGGAACACCGGUGGCGAAGGCGGGUCUCUGGGCAGUAACUGACGCUGAGGAGCGAAAGCGUGGGGAGCGAACAGG